rnacentral:sRNA from 1 species
UCUUGAUCUAUGUUAGCCUAACUCAGAUGAGUUCAAUCUAGCCCAACCUAUAUUGACUCAAACUCGACUUGACUCAAUUCAAGUUUGACUUGAACCUGAUUUAACCUAGUUCAACCUAACUUGAGCAUGACCCCAACCCAAAUUGUGUGGGUCCAAGUUGACUUAUCUUGACUUAAGUUCAAUCCAACCUAAACAUACAUGACUUGGGUCAACAUGAAAUAUACCUCACAUGAUUUUGGCUACCUAACUUAAGCCCAACUUGAGUUGAUCUAACAUUGAUCCGACUCAAUUUGGAGCGACAUAUACUCAAACCAACUUAAACAAUAUUAUAUCAACCCAACUUAACCUAACAUAGGAACAACUUGAGUGAGCUUAACCCACCAUCAUAGGUUGGACUCGACUUGAGUUAACUUGGCCUGAUCUAUCUUAGUUGUCUUUACUUGAUCUAAUCUAAAUCGGUUAUAACUCAUUUAAUUUGACCUAACUUAGAUCCCGACUUAACUUGACUUGACAUGAGAUCAACCUAACUAAGCUUAAUAUGGGGCUCGACCCCAUACAACCCAACAUCACAUCAACUUUACCCGUCUCAAUCAAAUAUAAGCUUUAAUUGACUUGGCGUACCCUAGCUUAAAAUAAUUUAACCUUAUUUAGGCUUCAUUCGACUUGUCAUGAGUCUAGACCAACUCAAUCGUACCUAGGUUCGACCUGAUCAACUUGAUUUGGCCUUAUAUGGCCCUAACCCAAUUUAGUCUGAAAUGGAGUUGACGCAAUAUAGGUUCAACCAUCACGAUCCAACACAAGUUUGAUUUGGACAUCUUUGUUGACUUAGACUUCAUAUGAACUUUGGUCUAUUUAGCUUGACUUGGGUUCAAAUUCACUUAACCUAACAUAGACUCAAGUUAAAUCAGAUUUAUCAUAUCCCGAGUCGACUUAGUUUGUCAUGCACUUGGACCCAUUCAACCCAAAAUGAAAUUGGACCAUACAAUCCAUAUGAACUUGAGUUUAAUUAACUUGAGCCAUGCCCAACUUAACUCAACUUAGAUUUGACCUAUUUGGUCUCAACACAACAUCAUUGACUUCUUGGUCCACAGUAAUAAUUAUGAACUAAUCUUGAAAAUUUAUCAAUUUUGCUUGUUGCAUUGUAUUAUAUUACAGUUAUCAUACUUUAAAUAUAAUCAUAAAUAUAUAGUUAUUGAGAUACUUACUAGGGACCAUGUUGACUGACAUACCCAGAGAAUCCUUAAUGAAUGAUUGAGUUGGUAGUUUGCAAAGAUUGAUACACAUCCCUACACAAUUUGCCUCCUCUAAAAAUCUGCACUUUUUUAUGUGAACUACAUUUUUUUCUCUUCUCCCCUCGUCCAUGUCCGAUUCUCUCACCUUCACAUC